rnacentral:rRNA from 1 species
ACGGUGAAGCCCAGCUUGCUGGGUGGAUCAGUGGCGAACGGGUGAGUAACACGUGAGCAACCUGCCCCUGACUCUGGGAUAAGCGCUGGAAACGGCGUCUAAUACUGGAUACGAACCGCGAAGGCAUCUUCAGUGGUUGGAAAGAUUUUUUGGUUGGGGAUGGGCUCGCGGCCUAUCAGCUUGUUGGUGAGGUAAUGGCUCACCAAGGCGUCGACGGGUAGCCGGCCUGAGAGGGUGACCGGCCACACUGGGACUGAGACACGGCCCAGACUCCUACGGGAGGCAGCAGUGGGGAAUAUUGCACAAUGGGCGGAAGCCUGAUGCAGCAACGCCGCGUGAGGGAUGACGGCCUUCGGGUUGUAAACCUCUUUUAGCAGGGAAGAAGCGAAAGUGACGGUACCUGCAGAAAAAGCGCCGGCUAACUACGUGCCAGCAGCCGCGGUAAUACGUAGGGCGCAAGCGUUAUCCGGAAUUAUUGGGCGUAAAGAGCUCGUAGGCGGUUUGUCGCGUCUGCUGUGAAAUCCCGAGGCUCAACCUCGGGCCUGCAGUGGGUACGGGCAGACUAGAGUGCGGUAGGGGAGAUUGGAAUUCCUGGUGUAGCGGUGGAAUGCGCAGAUAUCAGGAGGAACACCGAUGGCGAAGGCAGAUCUCUGGGCCGUAACUGACGCUGAGGAGCGAAAGGGUGGGGAGCAAACAGGCUUAGAUACCCUGGUAGUCCACCCCGUAAACGUUGGGAACU